UACGUAGGGUGCGAGCGUUGUCCGGAAUUAUUGGGCGUAAAGAGCUCGUAGGCGGUUUGUUGCGUCGGCUGUGAAAUCCCGAGGCUCAACCUCGGGUCUGCAGUCGAUACGAGCAAACUAGAGUGUUGCAGGGGAGACUGGAAUUCCUGGUGUAGCGGUGAAAUGCGCAGAUAUCAGGAGGAACACCAAUUGCGAAGGCAGCUCGCUGGGACGUAACUGACGCUAAGACGCGAAAGCGUGGGGAGCAAACAGG
rnacentral:rRNA from 1 species